UCUGGAGGCCAUUUGACAACUCAAGUGGUAAUUACACCAUUUGGCACAGGAAUUAGGGCAAGCUGGGCUAGCAACAGAGAAGAUGGGUUUUCCAUUUGGGGACCUUUGGCUAACUAGGUCAAUUUUUGUUCACAUCCCAGCUUCGUAUUUAUUGAGAGACAUGGAGAAGCCACCAGAGAUUCCCAGCCUCUUCAGCCGACUACUGAGGAGGGUGACCUCUGCUGCCUCCUCUCUGACGUCACUGCCUGAAAACAGCCAUGGUGGACUCAGAGGCCAGGAGGGUCACAGAAUGAUCUCCAUGGCCGCCUAAUGUCGCAGGACAGCCCUGGCUUUGACUCAGGAGCUCCAGGCCUUGGUCCAGUGGAAUUUCUGACUCCCUUGGCCAGGGCUGGCUUCCUCAUCCAGAACAAACCAGAGCCAGAGAACUUGGAUGCCACAGCCCUGCCUUUCGCUCCACUCAAUCGUCAAUCAUCAAUCAUCAAUCUCAGUGAUUAGGAGCCGGGUCUGUCCCGGCCGAUGAAGGCUCCCAAGCAUGUUUAUCAUAUCUGUAGGGGUCUAGGCUGUCUCUGGACCUUACCAAGCUUGAUUUUUACCUGAUUCUCAAAAUUGGACCUAGUGAGGCACUCCAUAUGGGAACACUAAGAAACUUAGAGCCCUGGAGAUGAGUGAUAGUUUACGAUUUUAAAAAUAGGGAACCCCUCAAAGCAAAACAAAACCACCCCAAAACAAAACCCACAAACCCAUCAGAAGCAAACCCUGGCUGUGCUGAGCACAGUGCCUCUGACACCGUGGCAUUGAGAUGCGGGGCCAGGAAUGCACCCUCUAAGCGUCAGAACUCUGUCUGGUACUCAGCACCUCGGUGACAAGCCCCGAGCUCUUUUGAGAGACACAUGUGCCCUGGUUGCCCUCUGACAUUAACUGAAGUUUAAAUCCAAACACUACCAGAGCUGGUGGCUGAAGGAAGGCUGAGUCACAGGUGUUUGGCACUCCUGGGGAGCUGCUCUGGUCUCCUCAAGCUUGGGGAUUGUUUUGUAAUUCAUCCUCCCUCAGCUCUUCAUGGUGUCUGGGAUUUGACUCAGAGGUAAGACCCCUGCCACAGUCAAUUUCUAAAUCACCUUAGAUAAGUCCUUUCCCUUCUUUCGGCUCAGUUUUCCCAUCAACAAAAUGGUAUGACAAGAGUCUAUUCUACCAAGUUAGAGCUAUUUCGAGUUGGGAGCAUCACUUGGCCCAUGGCCCUUACUACCUCUCCUGGACUCCUUCUAGUCCUUUAAAUAUCUGCACAGUAUGUGCUGUCUCUGGAACAAGCUGCAUCCUGCAGCCAUUUAGAACAAUUCCUGUUUCCAGUACGGAGUCCAAUCUUGCUGAUAUGGAGGGAAAAUUUCAAGCCCUCUGCUGUAUAAAUUCAGUCAAUGUUUUAUUGCUCCGGACUCUUUUAACACACAACUUUUGUUUCUCAUUAA